GACGAACGCUGGCGGCGUGCUUAACACAUGCAAGUCGAACGGAAAGGCCCUGCUUGCAGGGUGCUCGAGUGGCGAACGGGUGAGUAACACGUGGGUGAUCUGCCCCUUACUUUGGGAUAAGCCUGGGAAACUGGGUCUAAUACUGGAUAGGACCAUGCUGUAGGUGGUGUGGUGGAAAGAUUAGUUUCGGUAAGGGAUGAGCUCGCGGCCUAUCAGCUUGUUGGUGGGGUAAUGGCCUACCAAGGCGUCGACGGGUAGCCGGCCUGAGAGGGUGGACGGCCACAUUGGGACUGAGAUACGGCGCAGACUCCUACGGGAGGCAGCAGUGGGGAAUAUUGCACAAUGGGCGCAAGCCUGAUGCAGCGACGCCGCGUGGGGGAUGACGGCCUUCGGGUUGUAAACUCCUUUCAGCCAUGACGAAGCCCUUGUGGUGACGGUAGUGGUAGAAGAAGCACCGGCUAACUACGUG
rnacentral:rRNA from 1 species